CUUGUGAGUGCUGGGGGGCGGGGGGUCGGGGCGGACAGGGCUGGGCUUGGCGGGGACCUGGCUCCCGGGAAUAGCUGCUGUCCUUUUCCCUUAGUUUUAAUUAACUGGCUCCUCUCUCAGUCCGACCUCCGGGGCCCUGGGAGGGGGAAACUGAGUCCCAGUUUCAAUCCAGGCAGGGUCCACUUCUUUGCCCUCCUGGAUUGCGUUGAGUUCACUCAAUACAGGCGGGGGUCGUGGUGGGAGGAACCGAAGGAAAUGGAUUCUGGGGUAAAGGGGAGGCGAUGUGCCAGAGGGGCACAGAGGUCAGGUUCCUAAGGUGAAGGGGGGUGACGUGUCAGCACCAGGCAACCAGGUUGGAGUGGAGCACGGGGGAGCUGAGGUGUGGGAGCAGCCCCUGGGCUGGGACUGAGGCUCGGUUGUGGAGCUAUGUGGACACGGUCCGCUAGGAGGCGGCAGAAGGCUGCGGACCCUAGAAGCAACGGGCUUCUCUAACCUGAGAGUUACGUUACUGAGCCUUGUCCCGAGGUGCCAGUUAACUAGCGGUUGGGAGUUCUCCAGAGCCAGAGGAUUUAGGAUGAAGAUUUUUAGAAAUCCUUCCCCUGUGGGGGAGUCUGAGGAUGGUAACUAGAGAGAAGGUCCCGUCAGGAGAGAAGAGUAGUGCAGUAGUAGCGCUACCCACAAGUGAAUAGGGACCAGAGAAAGAGAGGGUCAUGAGUUCUCCUCCUCUUAACCCUCAAACAAUGCUAGGAAACAGAUGCUUCUAGGACCAAGAACCGAGACAAUGUGCUGAGUUGGCAAAACAUGUCUGUCUGGAUUGGGCUGAAGAUGGAGACCCACAUCCAAGGCGUUAACUUGAAGCUCAAGGAACAUUGCUUGUUUGAACACAUAAAAAUAAACUGCCUUACUGAAAAAUCACUGAUACUUUAUCCCUUGAAAUGAGUUCAUUUAAAUGUAAAUAGUUACUAAGCAACUGUAGUUGG